GGGCGGAGACCUGGCACCGCGGAAACCGGUUCAGGCCCGGAAGGGAGCAGACUUACCGUGGACGUUUGGCGCCCAUGG
rnacentral:SRP_RNA from 1 species